CAAUAAGUGUUUAAUGGCACUUUUAAAAUCCAUUACCCACCUUGUGUGCACUGUAGAUGGAGAGGGAGGCUUUACUGCCCCUUUUUUCCGUCAUACUUACAUACCAUUUUUUUUUCUUGAAAAUCGUCUACAAUUUGAGUAAUAAAAAAAAACUCGAAUA
rnacentral:misc_RNA from 1 species